AUUAGUGUAGAGUAGUGGUUUGAGCACUGGACUAUAAUUCCGGAGACUAGGGUUCAAAUCCCCACUUGGCCA